GUGUAGCUCAGUGGUACAGCACUUGCUUAGCAUGCAAGAGGCCUUGGAUUCAAUUCCUAAUAC
rnacentral:tRNA from 1 species